CGUAUGCAUAUAUUCAUAUUUGGACCAAUACAACAAUAGCAAGCUCCAUCUGUUCCUUUACAAUGUGAUGAUGGAAGUGGUACACAGACACCUCUUAGCUUGGCAUCGUGAUGAGGAUUAUCAUACUCCAUAGUAGACGGUUGUGGGCUUGCAUCUCCCAAAAUAGUCUUUAUUAAGGUAGUUUUUAAAGCUUUAUCACCAAUGUUGUUCCCAUUUACAACUGCACAAACGAAUUCAUAACAUUAAAUAUAACGAUUAUACCACAGAUGUGAACAAAUUAACAUGUAAAAUAUUGAUGGAGAUGAAUGCGAAAAUUUCCAAAUUAUCGUGAUAUUGUAAAAGACGAACAUAAGGUGUUGUCACUGUGUCAUCAAACUUUUUAUAAUAGAUUAUUGUUUAAAACUACAAUAUGUCCAUUAAGAUACUCUAAUCAUUUAUGAAAUGAAAAAUCAACUCACAUAUGACAAGAAGGCCAAGAACAAAGAAUGACAACCAAAAUUCCUUAUUCCUCAACAUCUUCAUAUGAGAGGACAUGUCAAGAAUUGGUGAAGUGAAUAUAUUUAUACUAAAUUUACUAGAAGUAAGUGCAAUGUAUACUCAACUCAAAUGAGCGUUUUGUAAAUUAUUAUUCUAACUAAGUAUCCUUCAUAAUUACAACAUAUUUAUAGUAAAAUUAAAUUCAUAUGUUUCUGUUUAUUUGAUAGUAUUUAAGUUAUUUUUUGAAAAUUUAUUUUAUUUUUGCUUUAAAAUUUUAAUUUUUUUUUAAGUAGUUUAGAAGGUGACAAAAACAAUGUCGCUUAGAUGCAAAUUACCAUUUCAUAAAUACUUAUUUUGUCUUCUUUUUUCUUUUUUAUAUAUUAGAGGAAAAAAAACAAUGUAAAUUAUUUAAAAUAGGUCGCUGUAACACGCAUCUAUUUUGAAAAUAUUAUGGACAUACUCGGGCAUGAGAUUUCUUGGAUUUUUAAAAGUUUUUGAUUUACAAAAGAAAACUCGAAUAAAAAAAAACUAGGUUAGAAUGUACAAGCUCUUAGAUUUUAAUUUUAAUAAAAAAACACAUAAUACGAAAUCUGCUAGAAGUACCUUUUGCCUUAUCCGAGCUUUUAGAGGCAUGUUUUCAUUUAAUUCUACGCCUUUAGUAGCUAAUAUAUAUGUUUUCUGAAAACUUCUAUAAAACCAAAUUUUAUAGUUUCUUGAUCAUGUCUUCCAAAUAAAUGUCCUUAAGGCACAUAAACACAUGUACAUGUUAUGAAAAUAUAAUAUAAAUAUUAGUAGCUUAUCACUUUAUUAUUGUAAUGGUUUAUGUAGUUUUAAAUAUAAUUUACAAUAUUCGGAGAUACAUUUAUCUUUCAUUAUUUUGUAUUUUGUUCCUUAUUUAUAAUAUGAUAGCUUUCAAAUAGUUUUCUUCGGCAUCCAUAUAUUUUUCUAUAAAUUUUAUAUUGUUUUUAGUUUUACUUAUUAAUUGUUACAUAAAUAAUUUAAUUUUAAUCAAUAUAUCAUUGAAUUUGUCUGUAAGUCUUACAAGAAGAAAAUUAAAUAUUUCUCUAUUAUUCAAAUAACUUCAAUUACAUAUUUUAAGAAAACAAAUAUUAUUUGGUACGAAAUAAGGGUUAUGUUCAAUUAAGAACAUAUGAAUUGAAUUUUUUAUGACAUUUGGUAAGCACAAAACCAUUUAAUUUUAUUUUGAAAACGACUAACUUACAUAUAAAAAAUCUAUCUACUCAUAUUUUAAGAACAUAUAGUAUUACACAAACUAAGACCUCGUAUGCAUAUAUUCAUAUUUGGACCAAUACAACAAUAGCAAGCUCCAUCUGUUCCUUUACAAUGUGAUGAUGGAAGUGGUACACAGACACCUCUAAGCUUGGCAUCGUGAUGAGGAUUAUCAUACUCCAUAGUAGACGGUUGUGGGCUUGCAUCUCCCAAAAUAGUCUUUAUUAAGGUAGUUUUUAAAGCUUUAUCACCAAUGUUGUUCCCAUUUACAACUGCACAAACGAAUUCAUAACAUUAAAUAUAACGAUUAUACCACAGAUGUGAACAAAUUAACAUGUAAAAUAUUGAUGGAGAUGAAUGCGAAAAUUUCCAAAUUAUCGUGAUAUUGUAAAAGACGAACAUAAGAUGUUGUCACUGUGUCAUCAAACUUUUUAUAAUAGAUUAUUGUUUAAAACUACAAUAUGUCCAUUAAGAUACUCUAAUCAUUUAUGAAAUGAAAAAUCAACUCACAUAUGACAAGAAGGCCAAGAACAAAGAAUGACAACCAAAAUUCCUUAUUCCUCAACAUCUUCAUAUGAGAGGACAUGUCAAGAAUUGGUGAAGUGAAUAUAUUUAUACUAAAUUUACUAGAAGUAAGUGCAAUGUAUACUCAACUCAAAUGAGCGUUUUGUAAAUUAUUAUUCUAACUAAGUAUCCUUCAUAAUUACAACAUAUUAAUAGUAAAGUUAAAAUUCAUAUGUUUCUGUUUAUUCAAUAAUAUUUAAGUUAGUUUUUGAAUAUUUAUUUUAUUUUUGCUUUAAAAUUUUAAUUUUUUUUCAAGUAGUUUAGAAGGUGACAAAAACAAUGUCGCUUAGAUGCAAAUUACCAUUUCAUAAAUACUUAUUUUGUCUUCUUUUUUCUUUUUUAUAUAUUAGAGGAAAAAAAAACAAUGUAAAUUAUUUAAAAUAGGUCGCUGUAACACGCAUCUAUUUUGAAAAUAUUAUGGACAUACUCGGGCAUGAGAUUUCUUGGAUUUUUAAAAGUUUUUGAUUUACAAAAGAAAACUCGAAUAAAAAAAAACUAGGUUAGAAUGUNUUAUUUUUAAUAAAAAACACAAAAUACGAAAUCUGCUAGAAGUACCUUUUGCCUUAUCCGAGCUUUUAGAGGCAUGUUUUCAUUUAAUUCUACGUCUUUAGUAGCUAAUAUAUAUGUUUUCUGAAAACUUCUGUAAAACCAAAUUUUAUAGUUUCUUGAUCAUGUCUUGCAAAUAAAUGUCCUUAAGGCACAUAAACACAUGUACAUGUUAUGAAAAUAUAAUAUAAAUAUUAGUAGCUUAUCACUUUAUUAUUGUAAUGGUUUAUGUAGUUUUAAAUAUAAUUUACAAUAUUGGGAGAUACAUUUAUCUUUCAUUAUUUUGUAUUUUGUUCCUUAUUUAUAAUAUGAUAGCGUUCAAAUAUUUUUCUUCGACAUCCAUAUAUUUUUCUAUAAAUUUUAUAUCGUUUUUAGUUUUACUUAUUAAUUGUUACAAAAAUUAAUUUGAUUUUAAUCAAUAUGUCAUUGAAUUUGUUCGUAAGUCUUACUAGAAGAAAAUUAAAUAUUCAUCUAUUAUUCAAAAAACUUUAAUUACAUAUUUUAAGAAAACAAAUAUUAUCUGGUACGAAAUAAGGGUUAUGUGCAAUUAAGAACAUAUGAAUUCAAUUUUUUAUGACAUUUGGUAAGUACAAAACCAUUUAAUUUUAUUUUGAAAAUGACUAACUUACAUAUAAAAAAUCUAUCUACUCAUAUUUUAAGAACAUAUAGUAUUACACAAACUACGAUCUUGUAUGCGUAUAUUCAUAUUUGGACCAAUACAACAAUAGCAAGUUCCAUUUGUUCCUUUACAAUGUGAUGAUGGAAGUGGUACACAGACACCUCUUAGCUUGGCAUCGUGAUGAGGAUUAUCAUACUCCAUAGUAGACGGUUGUAGGCUUGCAUCUCCCAAAAUAGUCUUUAUUAAGGUAGUUUUUAAUGCUUUAUCACCAAUGUUGUUCCCAUUUACAAUUGCACAAACAAAUUGAUAACAUUAAAUAUAACAAUUAUACCACAGAUGUUGUGACAACCCGAAAUUAUCCAUCGCCGAAACCCAAUUCGUCCGUAAGACCUGUUUUUAGCAAUUCGUUCUGGUUUCAUUUUUGGGCCAAAUUAUUCAAACUUAUAUGAUUAUUAUAAUCUAAUGUGUGUCCAAACCCUUUAGGAACUCAUGAAAUUGGCCCAAAUUAUUGAUUUGAAAAUUUCUAGAAUCGUUUCCGCCGGAUUACAGCAAUUUGGUCGGGUGUGAACAAAAGCCACGUCUAAUGUCAGUAUCGGAUAGAAUUCCACCGUGUCCAAAUCUUGAACACUAUUUAAAGUUGUCUAAGCUCCCAUUUGAAGCUUUUUCUCUCUCUCUCUCACUACUCUCUCUCUAUCCUCUCUCCUCAAUCCAAAGAACUAGGUCCAAAACACCAAUUUAAGGCUUCAAAUCUUCAAGGUAACUUCCCUAACUUGUUGUUCAACUUCGUUAACCUUCAAAUCCGAGUUUAAUCAAUGAUUUAGGACCUCAAAAAAGAGUUUACGGCCCUAGAUCAUGCAUGGGCCAUAAACACAUAAAAAGUGGGUUUUCAAGCCUUAAAACCCCUCCAAAUCAAUCUUGGGACUUAGAUAUGACUUUAUGGCUUACCAAUUCGGACUUAGAACACCCUAAUCAUCAUUUUUGCGGAGUAAACAUGAGUUUACUGCCCAAGAUCAUGCUUGGGCCAUAAACUCAUCAUUCAUGGAGAGUAAACUGAAAAUCAAGUGUUUAAAAGCCAUUUAAACACACCUUUAGCCUUGGAAUAAAUCCUAUAACCAACCAAAAUCAACUUGGAGACUUUAAACAUGAUGAAAUCCCUCCAUUUGAGAGUUUACGGCCAUAACCCCCCAAGAAUAGGUUUCAGGGCCGUAAACUCAUAAUCAUAAGUCAAAUGGUGCCCAAAAUUCAUCCUAAGGCUUGUAAAAAUUGUUUGAAUCACAUGUUAUUAAUCUAAGGGCACUAAAUCAUAAAUUUAAGGGGGUAUAGGAGCUUACGCCCGUAAAAUCCUUGUUUAUGGCCGUAAACUCCCUUUAAAUGUUGUUCUUGGUGAUUUAAUCCAUUUCCAUGCCUUAGAUAAAUUUACCCCAUCAUCCCUCAAGUGUUAUUGACCAUUUAGCACCAUAAAACUCUCAACCAUGAGUUCACGGUCGUGAACUCAAGUGGUUAGAGUGUUUAGGGCCGUAAACUCAUUUCCCUAGUCCCUCACGUCCUUAAAUGUCACCCGGGUCACUCCAAACACUUAUUUUGAAGUGUUUUCGCGUCUAGGUGUAUAUAAUAAUAUCUAAUUAGUGAUUUAAAAUCUAUUUAGAUAUAUUUGUAUAUCAUUUCAUAUUACAUAGCAACCUUGCGCAUUAUUAGGCCCGAACCAACACUUAGCAUCUGAACCAACAUGUUUUUUCUCGUCUGGUGAGUUCAUACCCGUACCUUUUUUCAAUGGUUUUUCAAUGUCUUCAGGGGGGGGAUACAAGCAAAAGUACAAGAAUAUCUUGUACUUAAAUUCAUUAUUUCAUUUAAAUGGUUUCAUAAUCCGUACACUUUUAAGAAUUGAAAACAUAUUAACAAACGGUUUAACUUAUAGAAUUGUUCUUCAAACCUAUUUCAAUUCUUAUUAAGUAGUGUUAUACUUUAUACUUCACAAUUGAUUGUUCACACUUUUACUGAUAGAAAUCAUAGAACAUUUGUAUUGUCCCUAAUAAAACACCUUACGUUUGAGUGUGAAGGACAGACAUCAUUAGAACUUAGUCAGUCAUAGAUACUACUUCCCUUAGAUACGAGAGUAAAGAGUAAUCUUAAGGAUUGGAGACACGUCCUUUGUAACACUUCCCUUGGAAUGAGAGAGUGGAGGACUAUCCCUGUAACCAGAAUCUCCAAAAGGGAGAACGUGACUUGAGUGUAUAGAUCUAUACGGGACUGACUAUCCCGCACCUGGCUACUAGCUACAGCCGAACCGCAAGGUUCAAGGGUGACAAAAGUCAUAAAAAGAUACUGACCUCGGUAUGUGUCAUAUAUAGUCUGAAGUAUGGUUAAGGACUCAUAAUCAAGAUUAUGAACAUUUUGCACGUAUUUAUUUGUUUUUUAUAUGUGUUAAAACUAAUGUACAUUUAAAGGUAAUCAGACUUUCAGGAGACUCCACACACACACUUUAAGUAUGGUAGAUACUUGUACAUUACUUUGAGAUUCGGUAACAAUUCACACACAUUUAGGAAAAUAUGGGGUUUUCCUGGGAUAACAUUUGUACAUAAUCAGAACCGUGUAAUAACUCAGAUAACUAAACUUUACAAUUCACGAGGGUAAACAUGUUUUUUAGAGUACAUCUUUUACAUUAUAUUUUGGUUUCGAUAACAUUUCUUUUAAGAAAAUAUGGGAUUUUCUUGGUGUGAAACUUUUUUAGAAAACAUAAAGGAACUUGUACAAUUUCAGAAAACAAAACCGCUUAUGAACUCACCAGCUUUAUGCUGAUUUUCAAACUGCUUGGCCAACUAUAUUCAUUCGAGACACAACCAAUAUAUGCUUGGGAGUGACUGUGGUAUGCGGGAUGCCUAAAACUUACCCAAUAACCAAACAACGAGCCAUCGCUAUAGCGAAUCAUGAAAUACUAUGGGAGUAUUUCUCAAGCCAAACCCGUUAUAGAAAUUCUCAUUACAACAUUGUUCCUCGAUCAUUCCCUUAGUGAUUACUAAUCUGCUUUGUUAACUCUUUCCUGCUUAUCGCUUAAUAGAAUACCAUAUAUAUCUGUCUUAAUGAGAUAUCUCCUGUCCCAUAUCUCUUGAUUCAGUUCUGAGGACUUAUGAUCCUCUCUUUCCUUAUCUUAUUAGAUCAAGAUGCCUCCAAGAAAGAGACCCAACUCAAAGACCAACAACCCUCCACCACCACCUCCUCCUCAAAUUGAUCUUGUAAUGCUUCAGGCAGCUGUUACUGCCGCAAUGACAGCCGCCAUGUCACAAUGAAACCCCGGUAGACCAGGAGGUGGCCCCUAGCCCCAAAACCCAGAAGAUAACCAGGGACACCGAAAGAAGGGUUCCUAUAAAGAUUUCAUGAACGCAAAACCCACGUCCUUUGAUGGCACUGGAGAUGUCAUUUCCUUCACCCGAUGGUUCGAGAAGAUCGAAUCUAUCUUUGAAAUUUGCGCCUGCUUAGAAUCUGACAAAGUGAAGUUUGUCACCUGCACCUUCAUCGAUAAAGCCCUGACUUGGUGGAAUGGCCGAGUCAAAUCCUUAACCUUACCUGUAGCCAACGCCAUGGGUUGGGAAGCCAUGAAGGAACUUCUGGUGGCCGAGUACUGCCCACUGGGCGAAAUGCAUAAAUUAGAGCACGAACUCUAGAACCUGAAGAUGAAGAGUUCCGAUAUCGCCGCUUACACUUCCAGGUUCGAUGACUUGGCAUUACUCUGCCCGGGAAUGGUUACCCCGGAGAGUAAGAAGAUAGAGAGAUUCAUCUGGGGGCUGACCCAUCCAAAAAAAGGAAACGUUCUAGCCGCAAGGCCAGAUACAUACGAUAGCGCCAAAUGCUUAGCACGAAUCUUAAUCGAUCACAGUGAUGACCUUGAGGAGGCAGCUACCACUCCUGAGCCGACAGAGAGGAGUGGCGGGAAAAGGAAAAUCGGGAAGAAGAAGGAAAGUCAGACAUUGCAGGAGUCUUCGUAGAGGCAGCAACUUGUGGCAGUUCACGCUGAUACUACCCCUGCAACUGUUUCUGUUGUUGGAUCCUCAGCUCGAAUACCUACCAGUAGGUAUGCGGGAACCCUCCCUAGUUGUGACAAGUGUAAAUAUCAUCACCUCACUUCCAACCGAUGUAUAGAGAUGUUUUGCAACAGUAGUGGCAUAAAGGGUCACAUGGAGAAAAACUGUAAGACACCAACUUAAUCAACCAGUCAAGUUUCCGGAGCGGGCAUUGGUCAAGCCUGCUAUGGUUGCGGAAAAGUUGGGCAUCUUAAGCGAAACUGCCCCAAGGUAGCAACGACUGGCAACACCGAAAGAGUUCUAGAGAUAGGACGAGAGGAGACAACUACUGAUCCCACCGUCGCCCCAGGUAUAUUCCUCCUCAAGAACUCUUAUGCCUACAAACCUUUUCGAUUCUUGUGAUAAAAGAAAAAUCUGUUAUCUAUUCAUCCAUACAUCUUAAUCUUAGCCCUCCACUAGUAAUUAAAACAUUCACCAUCGAGACGGAUAAUAGUGGGGAAAGAAAACUUUAUCGAUACAUCCAUAGGUUGUACCCUUACUUUGAACGACCAUCCUUUAUCCAUUGAUCUUAUGUCCAUUUCCAUAAAUACUUUUGAUGUUAUCUAUGGCAUGGACUGGUUGAGUCCCAAUCGUGCUGAAACCCUUGCAUUGAAAAAUCCACCUGUCUCAAUCUUUUCUCUGAUCAGACCCUCAUGAUCUACGGCAAUAAACUCAGUUCCAACCUACGUAUCGGUUUUUGCAUCAAAACUCAAGAGUUUUCCCCGAAAGGAGUGUCAUACAUUCCUAGUCUAUGGAAUCCGUGAGAAAAAGAAAGUUAAAAACUUAGAGAACAUCCCCAAAGUCUGUGACUAUCCUGAUGUAUUCCCUAUAUAGCUUUCGAGAAUUCUUUCCGAACAUCAAAUUGAAUUUCGCAUCGAUCUAAUCCCUGAAACUACCUUGUAGCCAAACGUCAGUGAAAAUGAGGUGUCCAAGACAGCAGUCAGGGCUUGAUAUGAUCACUACGAGUUAGUAGUGGUGCCCUUCGGUCAAAUUAUUUUCCUUAGUCAUGUAGAUAAGCAAAGCAGUCAUACCCGUGGACCUUUGCAAAAACUAUGGCGAUAGGGAUUUAGUCGGCACCGGAGAUACCCAUAGAAAACCCGUCAAUUCUUGGGUCCCGCCGGCUAAUAUCGCAGACCCACCUAGAAAUUUCCUUUAGAAUCAUCAAACCCUUAACUACUCUACCAUAUGAAGAUGUACUCUCUUGUUGGAAGUCUUGCUCUGGAGAGACAUAGUAGGCCUUGAGAAGUGCGGAAAAACUUAACUCGUGGUACAUUAAACGCUUCGAGAUCCUCGUUAGGAAUCGAUUCCGUAGCCCUCUCCGAGCUAUCUUCAGAACUCAGCAGCAACCAUCUGGUAUUCCAUAUCUUUGUUCAUAAGGAGUGCCGACUCGACGAAACCCUAGUAAUCCCUUUGAUGAGAUCGAAAUCAAUGGAAACACAAACCUCCAUGGAAGAAUCAAUUGAGAUCAUGGAUUGAGAGGUUGACCAUACGAAACAAAGUCGCAUCCCGAUAGUGAAGGUUCGCUGGAAUGUCAAGCGGACACCCGAUUCCACUUAGGAGCGUGAAGACCCGAAGCAGUAGAUUCAUUCUCAUCCUUCUUUUCACUGCAUGAUCUAUGCCCAAAUCUUUAAAUUUCGGGAAGAAAUUCCCUCUAAUGGGGGGAUAAUGUGACAACCCGAAAUUAUCCAUCGCCAAAACCUAAUUCGUCCGUAAGACCCGUUUUUAGCAAUUCUUUCUGGUUUCGUUUUUGGGCCAAAUUAUUCAAAAUUAUAUGAUUAUUAUAAUCUAAUGAGUGUCAAAACCCCUUAGGAACUCAUGAAAUUGGCCCAAAUUAUUGAUUUUAAAAUUUCUAGAAUCAUUUCCGCCGGAUUACAACAAUUUGGUCGGGUGUGACCAAAAGCCACGUCUAAUGUCGGUAUCGGGUAGAAUUCCACCGUGUCCAAAUCUUGAACACUAUUUAAAGUUGUCUAAGCUCCCAUUUGAAGCUUUUACUCUCUCUCUCUCUCUCUCACUAUUCUCUCUCUCUCUAACCUCUCUCCUCAAUCCAAAGAACUAGGUCCAAAAAACCAAUUUAAGGCUUAAAAUCUUCAAGGUAACUUCCCUAACUUGUUGUUCAACCUCAUUAACCUUCAAAUCCGAGUUUAAUCAAUGAUUUAAGACCCCAAACAAGAGUUUACGGCCCUGGAGUAUGCAUGGGCCGUAAACACAUAAAAAGUGGGUUUUCAAGCCUUAAAAACCCUCCAAAUCAAUCUUGGGACUUAGAUAUGACUUUAUGGCUUACCAAUUCGGACUUUGAACACCCUAAUCAUCAUUUUUGAGGAGUAAACAUGAUUUUACUGCCCAAGAUCAUGCUUGGGCCAUAAACUCAUCAUUCCUGGAGAGUAAACUGAAAAUCAAGUGUUUAAAAGCCAUUUAAACACACCUUUAGCCUUGGAAUAAAUCCUAGAACCAACCAAAAUCAAUUUGGGGACCUUAAACAUGAUGAAAUCCCUCCAUUUGAGAGUUUACGGCCAUAACCCCCCAAGAAUAGGUUCUAGGCCCGUAAACUCAUAAUCAUAAGUCAAACGGUGCCCAAAAUUCAUCCUAUGGCUUGUAAAAAUUGCUUGAAUCACAUGUGAUUAAUCUAAGGCCACUAAAUCAUCAAUUUAAGGGGGGUAUAGGAGCUUACGGCCGUAAACUCCUUGUUUAGGGCCGUAAACUCCCUUUAAAUGUUGUUCUUGGUGAUUUAAUCCAUUUCCAUUCCUUAGAUAAAUUUACCCCAUCAUCCCUCAAGUGUUAUUGACCAUUUAGCACCAUAAAACUCUCAACCAUGAGUUCACGGUCGUGAACUCAUGUGGUUAGAGUGUUUAGGGCCGAAAACUCCAUAAGGAGUUUACUCUUUAAGAGUAAACUCAUUUCCCUANACGUCCGUAAGUCACCCGGGUCACUCCAAACACUUAUUUUGAAGUGUUUUCGCGUCUUGGAGUAUAUAAUAAUAUCUAAUUAGUGAUUUAUAAUCUAGUUAGAUAUAUUUGUAUAUCAUUUCAUAUUACAUAGGAACCUCGCACGUUAUCAGGCCCGAACCGACACUUAGCAUCCGAACGAACAUGUUUUCUCUUCUGGUGAGUUCAUACCCCUACCCUUUUUGAAUGUUUUUCAAUGUUUUUAGGUGGGGGGGAUACAAGCAAAAGUACAAGAAUAUCUUGUACUUAAAUUCAUUAUUUCAUUUAAAUGGUUUCAUAAUCCGUACACUUUUAAGAAUUGAAAACAUAUUAACAAACAGUUUAACUUAUAGAAUUGUUCUUCAAACCUAUUUCAAUUCUUAUUAAGUAGUGUUAUACUUUAUACGUGACAAUUGAUUGUUCACACUUUUACUGAUAGAAAUCAUAGAACAUUUGUAUUGUCCUUAAUAAAACACCUUAGGUUCGAGUGUGAAGGACAGACAUCAUUAGAACUUAGCCAGUCAUAGAUACUACUUCCCCUAGAUACGAGAGUAAAGAGUAAUCUUAAAGAUUGGAGACACGUCCUUUGUAACACUUCCCUUGGCACGAGAGAGUGGAGGACUAUCCCUGUAACCAGAAUCUCCAGAAGGGAGAACGUGACUUGAGUGUAUAGAUCUAUACGGGACUGACUAUCCCGCACCUGGCUGCUAGCUACAGCCGAACCGCAAGGUUCAAGGGUGACAAAAGUCAUAAAAAGAUACUGACCUCGGUUCGAGUCAUAUCUAUUUUGAAGUAUGGUUAAGGAAUUGUAAUCAAGAUUAUGAACACUUUGCACGUAUUUAUUAGUUUUAUAUAUGUGUUAAAACUAAUGUACAUUUAAUGGUAAUCAGACUUUCAGGAGACUCCACACACACACACUAUAAGUAUGGUAGAUACGUGUAGAUUACUUUGAGAUGUGGUAACAAUUCACACACAUUUAGGAAAAUAUGGGAUUUUCCUGGGAUAACAUUAGUACAUAAUCUGAACCGUGUAAUAACUCAGAUAACUAAACUUUACAAUUCAUGAGGGUAAACAUGUUUUUCAAAGUACAUCUUUUGCAUUAUAUUUUGGAUUCGAUAACAUUACUUUUAAGAAAAUAUGGGAUUUUCUUGGUGUGAAACUUUUUCAGAAAACAGAAAGGAACUUGUAUUAUUUCAGAAAACAAAACCGCUUAUGAACUCACCAGCUUUAUGCUGAUUUUCAAACUACUUGUAUUCUCAGGUCCAUAUUAGACAGGUACCCAGCGAUCCUUUUGGCGAAGGCGAAGUAUGUAGAAGACACGUCUUUACUUUUGUUCAUAUGUCAUGUAUAUGUAUAAGGCAUGUAAUCCUUUGUUUUUAGACAAUGUAAAUAAAUCUAUGUAAUGUAAAGUUUUGUGUUUACUAUGCUUACUAUGUACAUUGGUUGCGAUAUUCAUGACGUCCUCCACCCCGGAACGUUUCUGCCUUUGGUUUCGAGGUGUGACAGAUUGGUAUCAGAGCCCUUGUUUAUAGUGAACUAGUAUACCAAACCUUACAUGGUAUAAGACUAUAAACACUAAGGGGCCUAAGUGCUCUAAACUAAAAGUAUACUUUAAAUAAUAAGUAUUUUCAAAAAGUAUAUAAGUAUACCUAACCGUCGAAAUCCGUAACUACAAGUAGAACAAAACAUAAGUAAAUGGGUGUUGUACGCUACGGUUAAACAUGGGCAGUUAUGUCGUCGUGUCUAGUAUCAAUAUAGCCUGGCCAACUAUAUUCAUUCGAGACAUGGCCAACAUGUGCUUGGGAGUGACUGUGGUAUGCGGCAUGCCUAAAACUUACCCAAUACCCAAACAACGAGCCAUUGCUGCAGCGAAUCAUGAAAUCCUAUGGGAGUAUUUCUCAAGUCAAACCCGUUAUAGAAAUUCUCAUUACAGCAUCGUUCCUCGAUCAUUCCCUUAGCGAUAACUAAUUUGCUUUGUUAACUCUUUCCUGCUUAUCGCUUAAUAGAAUACCAUAUAUCUGUCUUAAUGAUAUAUCUCCUGUCCCAUAUCUCUUGAUUCAAUUCUGAGGACUUAUGAUCCUCUUUUUCCUAAUCUUAUUAGAUCAAGAUGCCUCCAAGAAAGAGACCCAGCUCAAAGACCAACAACCCUCCGCCACCACCUCCUCCUCAAAUUGAUCUUGUAACUCUUCAGGCAGCUGUUACUACCGCAAUGACAGCCGCCAUGUCACAAUGAAACCCCGGUAGUUCAGGAGGUGGUCCCUAGCCCCAAAACCCAGAAGAUAACAAGGGACACCGAAAGAAGGGUUCCUAUAAAGAUUUCAUGAACGCAAAACCCAUGUCCUUUGAUGGCACUAGAGGUGUCAUUUCCUUCACCCGAUGGUUCGAGAAGAUCGAAUCCAUCUUUGAAAUUUGCGCCUGCUCAGAAUCUGACAAAGUGAAGUUUGCCGCCUGCACCUUCAUCGAUAAAGCCCUGACUUGGUGGAAUGACCGAGUCAAAUCCUUAACCUCACUUGUAGCCAACGCCAUGGGUUGGGAAGCCAUGAAGGAACUUCUGCUGGCUGAGUACUGCCCACGGGGAGAAAUGCAUAAAUUAGAGCACGAACUCUGGAACCUGAAGAUGAUGGGUUCCGAUAUCGCCGCUUACACUUCCAGGUUCGAUGACUUGGUAUUACUCUGCCCGGGAAUGGUUACCCCGGAGAGUAAGAAGAUAAUAGAGAUUCAUCUGGGGGCUGACCCACCCAAAAAAAAGGAAACGUCCUAGCCGCAAGGCGAGAUACAUACGACAGCACCAAAUGCUUAGCACGAAUCUUAAUCGAUCAUAGUGAUGACCUUGCGGAGGCAGCUACCACUCCUGAGCCGAUAGAGAGGAGUGGCGGGGGGAGGGNNNNNNNNNNNNNNNNNNNNNNNNNNNNNNNAGAGGCAGCAACUUGUGGCAGUUCACGCUGCUACUACCCCUGCAACUGUUUCUGUUGUUGGAUCCUCAGCUCGAAUACCUACCAGUAGUUAUGCGGGAACCCUCCCUAGUUGUGACAAGUGCAAAUAUCAUCACCUCACUUCCAACCCAUGUAUAGAGAUGUUUUGCAACAGUUGUGGCAUAAAGGGUCACAUGGAGAAAAACUGUAAGACACCAACUCAAUCAACCGGUCAAGUUUCCGGAGCGGGCAUUGGUCAAGCCUGCUAUGGUUGCGGAAAAGUUGGGCAUCUUAAGCGAAACUGCCCCAAGGCAGCAACGACUGGCAACACCGAAAGAGUUCUAGUGAUAGGACGAGAGGAGACAGCUACUAAUCCCACCGUCGCCCCAGGUAUAUUCCUCCUCAAGAACUCUUACGCCUGCAAACUUUUUCGAUUCUUGUGACAAAAGAAAAAUCUGUUAUCUAUUCAUCCAGACAUCUUAAACUUAGCCCUCCACUAGUAGUUGAAACAUUCACCAUCGAGACGGAUAAUAGUGGGGAAAGAAAACUUUAUUGAUACAUCCAUAGGUUGUACCCUUACUCUGAACGACCAUCCUUUAUCCAUUGAUCUUAUGUCCAUUUCCAUAAAUACUUUUGAUGUUAUCUUUGGCUUGGACUGGUUGAGUCCCAAUCGUGCUGAUACCCUUGCAUUGAAAAAUCCACCUGUCUCAAUCUUUUCUCUGAUCAGACCCUCAUGAUCUACGGCAAUAAAUUCAGUGCCAACCUACGUAUCGGUUUGUGCAUCAAAACUCAAGAGUUUUCCUCGAAAGGAGUGUCAUACAUUCCUAGCCUAUGUAAUCCGUGAGAAAAUAAAAGUUAAAAACUUCGAGAACGUCCCCUAAGUCUGUGACUAUCCUGAUGUAUUCCCUAUAUAGCUUUCGAGAAUUCUUUCCGAACAUCAAAUUGAAUUUCGCAUCGAUCUAAUCCCUGAAACUACCUUGUAGCCAAACCUCAGUGAAAAUGAGGUGUCCAAGACAGCAGUCAGGGCUUGAUAUGAUCACUACAAGUUACUAGUGGUGCCCUUCGGUCAAAUUAUUUUCCUUAGUCAUGUAGAUAAGAAAAGAAGUCAUACCCGUGGACCUUUCCAAAAACUAUGGCGAUAGAGAUUUAGUCGGCAGCGGAGAUACCCAUAGAAAACCCGUCAAUUCUUGGGUCCCGCCGGCUAAUAUUGCAGACCCACCUAGAAAUUUCCUUUAGAAUCAUCAAACCCUUAGCUACUCUACCAUAUGCAGAUGUACUCUCUUGUUGGAAGUCUUGCUCUGGAGAGACAUAGUACGCCUUGAGAAGUGCGGAAAAACUUAAAUCGUGGUACAUUAAACGCUUCGAGAUCCUCGUUAGGAAUCGAUUCCGUAGCCCUCUCCGAGCUAUCUUCAGAACUCAGCAGCAACCAUCUGGUAUUCCAUAUCUUUGUUCAUAAGGAGUGCCGACUCGACGAAACCCUAGUAAUCCCUUUGAUGAGAUCGAAAUCAACGGAAACACGAACCUCCAUGGAAGAAUCAAUUGAGAUCAUGGAUUGAGAGGGUGACCGUACGAAACAAAGUCGCAUCCCGAUAGUGAGGGUUUGCUGGAACGUCAAGCGGACACCCGAUUCCACCUAGGAGCGUGAAGACCCGAAGCAGUAGACUCAUUCUCAUCCUUCUUUUCACUGCAUGAUCUGUACCCAAAUCUUUAAAUUUCGGGACGAAAUUCCUUCUAACUGGGGGAUAAUGUGACAACCCGAAAUUAUCCAUCGCCAAAACCUAAUUCGUCCGUAAGACCCGUUUUUAGCAAUUCGUUCCGGUUUCGUUUUUGGGCCAAAUUAUUCAAACUUAUAUGAUUAUUAUAAUCUAAUGAGUUUCCAAACCCCUUAGGAACUCAUGAAAUUGGCCCAAAUUAUUGAUUUGAAAAUUUCUAGAAUCGUUUCCGUCGGAUUACAACAAUUUGGUCGGGUGUGACCAAAAGCCACGUCUAAUGUCGGUAUCAGGUAGAAUUCCACCAUGUCCAAAUGUUGAACACUUUUUAAAGUCAUCUAAGCUCCCAUUUGAAGCUUUCUCUCUCUCUCUCUCACUACUCUCUCUCUAACCUCUCUCCUCAAUCCAAAGAACUAGGUCCAAAACACCAAUUUAAGGCUUCAAAUCUUCAAGGCAACUUCCCUAACUUGUUGUUAAACCUCAUUAACCUUAAAAUCCAAGUUUAAUCAAUGAUUUAGGACCGCAAGAUAGAGUUUACGACCCUGGAGUAUGCAUGGGCCGUAAACACAUAAAAAGUGGGUUUUCAAGCCUUAAAACCCCUCCAAAUCAAUCUUGGGACUUAGAUAUGACUUUAUGGCUUACCAAUUCGGACUUUGAACACCCUAAUCAUCAUUUUUGAGGAGUAAACAUGAGUUUACUGCCCAAGAUCAUGCUUGGUCCGUAAACUCAUCAUUCCUGGAGAGUAAACUGAAAAUCAAGUGUUUAAAAGCCAUUUAAACACACCUUUAGCCUUGGAAUAAAUCCUAGAACCAACCAAAAUCAAUUUGGGGACCUUAAACAUGAUGAAAUCCCUCCAUUUGAUAUUUUACGGCCAUAACCCCCCAAAAAUAGGUUCUAGGCCCGUAAACUCAUAAUCAUAAGUCAAAUGGUGCCUAAAAUUCAUCCCAUGGCUUGUAAAAAUUGCUUGAAUCACAUGUGAUUAAUCUAAGGCCACUAAAUCAUCAAUUUAAGGGGGGUAUAGGAGCUUACGGCCGUAAACUCCUUUUUUAGGGCCGUGAACUCCCUUUAAAUGUUGUUCUUGGUGAUUUAAUCCAUUUCCAUGCCUUAGAUAAAUUUACCCCAUCAUCCCUCAAGUGUUAUUGACCAUUUAGCACCAUAAAACUCUCAACCAUGAGUUCACGGCCGUGAACUCAUGUGGUUAGAGUGUUUAGGGCCGAAAACNAACUCCAUAAAGUUUACUCUUGAAGAGUAAACUCAUUUCCCUAGUUCCUCACGUCCUUAAAUGUCACCCGAGUCACUCCAAACACUUAUAUAGAAGUGUUUUCGCAUCUUGGAGUAUAUAAUAAUAUCUAAUUAGUGAUUUAAAAUCUAAUUAGAUAUAUUUGUAUAUCAUUUCAUAUUACAUAGGAACCUUGCGCGUUAUCAGGCCUGAAUCAACACUUAGCAUCCGAACCAACAUGUUUUCUCGUCUGGUGAGUUCAUACCCCUACCCUUUUUCAAUGGUUUUUCAAUGUUUUCNUACCCGUACCUUUUUUCAAUGGUUUUUCAAUGUCUUCAGGGGGGGGAUACAAGCAAAAGUACAAGAAUAUCUUGUACUUAAAUUCAUUAUUUCAUUUAAAUGGUUUCAUAAUCCGUACACUUUUAAGAAUUGAAAACAUAUUAACAAACAGUUUAACUUAUAGAAUUGUUCUUCAAACCUAUUUCAAUUCUUAUGAAGUAGUGUUAUACUUUAUACUUCACAAUUGAUUGUUCACACUUUUAUUGAUAGAAAUCAUAGAACAUUUGUAUUGUUCUUAAUAAAACACCUUAGGUUCGAGUGUGAAGGACAGACAUCAUUAGAACUUAGUCAGUCAUAGAUACUACUUCCCCUAGAUACGAGAGUAAAGAGUAAUCUUAAAGAUUGGAGACACGUCCCAAUAACCAGAAUCUCCAGAAGGGAGAACGUGACUUGAGUGUAUAGAUCUAUACAGGACUGACAAUCGCGUACCUGGCUGCUAGCUACAGCCGAACCGCAAGGUUCAAGGGUGACAAAAGUCAUAAAAAGAUACUGACCUCGGUUUGAGUCAUAUCUAGUCUGAAGUAUGCUUAAGGACUCGCAAUCAAGAUUAUGAACACUUUGCACGUAUUUAAUAGUUUUAUAUAUGUGUUAAAACUAAUGUACAUUUAAAGGUAAUCAGACUUUCAGGAGACUCCACACACACACUUUAAGUAUGGUAGAUACUUGUACAUUACUUUGAGAUUCGAUAACAAUUCACACACAUUUAGGAAAAUAUGGGAUUUUCCUGGGAUAACAUUUGUACAUAAUCAGAACCAUGUAAUAACUCAGAUAACUAAACUUUACAAUUCACGAGGGUAAACAUGUUUUUCAGAGUACAUCUUUUACAUUAUAUUUUGGAUUCGAUAACAUUACUUUUAAGAAAAUAUGGGAUUUUCAUGGUGUGAAACUUUUUCAGAAAACAGAAAGAAACUUGUACAAUUUCAGAAAACAAAACCGCUUAUGAACUCACCAGCUUGAUGCUGAGUUUCAAACUGCUUGUAUUCUCAGGUCCAUAUUAGACAGGUACCCAACGAUCCUUUUGGCGAAGGCGAAGUAUGUAGAAGACACGUCUUUACUUUUGUUCAUAUAUUACGUAUAUGUAUAAUACAUGUAAUCCUUGUUUUCAGACAAUGUAAAUAAAUCUAUGUAAUGUAAAGUUUUGUGUUUACUAUGCUUACUAUGAACAUUGGUUGCGAUAUUCAUGACGUCCUCCACCCCGGAACGUUUCCGCCUUUGGUUUCGGGGUGUGACCGAUGUGAACAAAUUAACAUGUAAAAUAUUGAUGGAGAUGAAUGCAAAAAUUUCCAAAUUAUCGUGAUAUUGUAAAAUACGAACAUAAGGUGUUGUCACUGUGUCAUCAAACUUUUUAUAAUAGAUUAUUGUUUAAAACUACAAUAUGUCCAUUAAGAUACUCUAAUCAUUUAUGAAAUGAAAAAUCAACUCACAUAUAACAAGAAGGCCAAGAACAAAGAAUGAAAAAAAAAUUCCUUAUUCCUCAACAUCUUCAUAUGAGAGGACAUGUCAAGAAUUGGUGAAGUGAAUAUAUUUAUACUAAUUUUACUAGAAGUAAGAGCAAUGUAUACUCAACUCAAAUGAGCUUUUUGUAAAUUAUUAUUCUAACUAAGUAACCUUCAUAAUUACAACAUAUUUAUAGUAAAAUUUAAUUCAUAUGUUUCUGUUUAUUUGAUAGUAUUUAAGUUAUUUUUUGAAAAUUUAUUUUAUUUUUGCUUUAAAAUUUUAGUUUUUUUUUUUCAAGUAGUUUAGAAUGUGACAAGAACAAUGUCGCUUAGAUGCAAAUUACCAUUUCAUAAAUACUUAUUUUGUCUUCUUUUUUCUUUUUUAUAUAUUAUAGGAUAAGAAACUAUGUAAAUUAUUUAAAAUAGGUCGCCGUAACACGCAUCUAUUUUGAAAAUAUUAUGGACAUACUCGGGCAUGAGAUUUCUUGGAUUUUUAAUAGUUUUUGAUUUACAAAAGAAAACUCGAAUAAAAAAAAAACUAGGUUAGAAUGUAUAAGCUCCUAAAUUUUGUUUUUAAUAAAAAAAACACAUAAUACGAAAUCUGCUAGAAGUACCUUUUGCGUUAUCCGAGCUUUUAGAGGCAUGUUUUCAUUUAAUUCUACGCCUUUAGUAGUUAGUAUAUAUGUUUUCUGAAAACUUCUAUAAAACAAAUUUUUUUUUAGUUUCUUGAUCAUGUCUUCCAAAUAAAUGUCCUUAAGGCCCAUAAACACAUGUACAUGUGAUGAAAAUAAAAUAUAAAUAUUAGUAGCUUAUCACAUUAUUAUUGUAAUGGUUUAUGCAGUUUUAAAUAAAAUUUACAAUAUUGGAAGAUGCAUUUAUCUUUCAUAGUUUUGUAUUUUGUUCCUUUUUUUAUUAUAUGAUAGUUGACAAAUUGUUUUCUUCAGCAUCCAUAUAUUUUUCUAUAAAUUUUAUAUUGGCUUUCAGUUUUACUUAGUAAAUGUUACAUAAAUGAAUUUAAUUUUAAUCAUUAUAUCAUUCAAUUUGUUCGUAAGUCUUACUAGAAGAAAAUUAAAUAUUUAUCUGUUAUUCAAAAAACAUCAAUUACAUAUUUUAAGAAAACAAAUAUUAUUUGGUAUGAAAUAAGGGUUAUGUACAAUUAAGAACAUCUGAAUUCAAUUUUUUAUGACAUAUGGUAAACACAAAACCAUUUUAUUUUAUUUUGAAAAUGACUAACUUACAUAUAAAAAAUCUAUCAACUCAUAUUUUAAGAACAUAUAGUAUUACACAAGCUAAGACCUCGUAUGCAUAUAUUCAUAUUUGGACCAAUACAACAAUAGCAAGCUCCAUCUGUUCCUUUACAAUGUUAUGAUGGAAGUGGUACACAGACACCUCUUAGCUUGGCAUCGUGAUGAGGAUUAUCAUACUCCAUAGUAGACGGUUGUGGGCUUGCAUCUCCCAAAAUAGUAUUUAUUAAGGUAGUUUUAAAAGCUUUAUCACCGAUGUUGUUCCCAUUUACAACUGCACAAACGAAUUCAUAACAUUAAAUAUAACGAUUAUACCGCAGAUGUGAACAAAUUAACAUGUAAAAUAUUGAUGGAGAUGAAUGCGAAAAUUUCCAAAUUAUCGUGAUAUUGUAAAAGAUGAACAUAAGGUGUUGUCACUGUGUCAUCAAACUUUUUAUAAUAGAUUAUUGUUUAAAACUACAAUAUGUCCAUUAAGAUACUCUAAUCAUUUUUGAAAUGAAAAAUCAACUCACAUAUGACAAGAAGGCCAAGAACAAAGAAUGACAACCAAAAUUCCUUAUUCCUCAACAUCUUCAUAUGAGAGGACAUGUCAAGAAUUGGUGAAGUGAAUAUAUUUAUACUAAAUUUACUAGAAGUAAGUGCAAUGUAUACUCAACUCAAAUGAGCGUAUAUUAUUCUAACUAAGUAUCCUUCAUAAUUACAACAUAUUUAUAGUAAAAUUAAAUUCAUAUGUUUCUGUUUAUUUGAUAGUAUUUAAGUUCUUUUUUGAAAAAUUAUUUUUUUUUGCUUUAAAAUUUUAAUUUUGUUUCAAGUAGUUUAGAAUGUGACAAGAACAAUGUCACUUAGAUGCAAAUUACCAUUUCAUAAAUACUUAUUUUGUCAUCUUUUUUCAUUUUUAUAUAUUAGAGGAUAAGAAACUAUGUAAAUUAUUUAAAAUAGGUCGCUGUAAUACGCAUCUAUUUUGAAAAUAUUAUGGACAUAAUCGGGCAUGGGAUUUCUUGGAUUUUUUAAAGUUUUUGAUUUACAAAAGAAAACUCGAAUAAAAAAAACUAGGUUAGAAUGUACAAUCUCUUAAAUUUUAUUUUUAAUAAAAAACACAUACUACGAAAUCUGCUAGAAGUACCUUUUGCUUUAUCCGAGCUUUUAGAGGCAUGUUUUCAUUUAAUUCUACGCCUUUAGUAGCUAAUAUAUAUGUUUUCUGAAAACUUCUAUAAAAUCAAAUUUUAUAGUUUCUUGAUCAUGUCUUCCAAAUAAAUGUCCUUAAGACACAUAAACACAUGUACAUGUUAUGAAAAUAUAAUAUAAAUAUUAGUAGCUUAUCACUUUAUUAUUGUAAUGGUUUAUGUAGUUUUAAAUAUAAGUUACAAUAUUGGGAGAUACGUUUAUCUUACAUUAUUUUGUAUUUUGUUCCUUAUUUAUAAUAUGAUAGCUUUCAAAUAGUUUUCUUCGGCAUCCAUAUAUUUUUCUAUAAAUUUUAUAUCGUUUUUAGUUUUACUUAUUAAUUGUUACAUAAAUUAAUUUAAUUUUAAUCAAUAUAUCAUUGAAUUUGUUUGUAAGUCUUACUAGAAGAAAAUUAAAUAUUUAUCUAUUAUUCAAAAAACUUCAAUUACAUAUUUUAAGAAAACAAAUAUUAUUUGGUACGAAAUAAGGGUUAUGUUCAAUUAAGAACAUAUGAAUUGAAUUUUUUAUGACAUUUGGUAAGCACAAAACCAUUUAAUUUUAUUUUGAAAACGACUAACUUACAUAUAAAAAAUGUAUCUACUCAUAUUUUAAGAACAUAUAGUAUUACACAAACUAAGACCUCGUAUGCAUAUAUUCAUAUUUGGACCAAUACAACAAUAGCAAGCUCCAUCUGCUCCUUUACAAUGUGAUGAUGGAAGUGGUACCCAGACACCUCUUAGCUUGGCAUCUUGAUGAGGAUUGUCAUACUCCAUAGUAGACGGUUGUGGGCUUGCAUCUCCCAAAAUAGUCUUUAUUAAGGUAGUUUUUAAUGCUUUAUCACCAAUGUUGUUCCCAUUUACAACUGCAUAAACGAAUUCAUAACAUUAAAUAUAACGAUUAUAACACAGAUGUGAACAAAUUAACAUGUAAAAUAUUGAUGGAGAUGAAUGCGAAAAUUUCCAAAUUAUCGUGAUAUUGUAAAAGACGAACAUAAGGUGUUGUCACUGUGUCAUCAAACUUUUUAUAAUAGAUUAUUGUUUAAAACUACAAUAUGUCCAUUAAGAUACUCUAAUCAUUUAUGAAAUGAAAAAUCAACUCACAUAUGACAAGAAGGCCAAGAACAAAGAAUGAAAACCAAAAUUCCUUAUUCCUCAACAUCUUCAUAUGAGAGGACAUGUCAAGAAUUGGUGAAGUGAAUAUAUUUAUACUAAAUUUACUAGAAGUAAGUGCAAUGUAUACUCAACUCAAAUGAGCGUUUUGUAAAUUAUUAUUCUAACUAAGUAUCCUUCAUAAUUACAACAUAUUUAUAGUAAAAUUAAAUUCAUAUGUUUCUGUUUAUU
rnacentral:lncRNA from 1 species